GCCUAUUAGGUCUUUGUUUAUAUUAAAAUGGUUGAAUCACAAGAGCAUCUAAAUUAUGUAUGCUUACAAAUUACUAAAGUGGAAUCAAAGCACGUACUAAAUAAGGGUGGGACACGAACGAAGAGACUAAGCGGACGGGACGCAGAGGCACCAAGUGAAGUAGUCAACCCACAACGAAUAGAUAAGAUGUCCAUAUACUAGACGAGCCAGCAACGAUCAUGGCUCUAUUGGAGACACGAAGAGAAGUGGAGAACCCAC
rnacentral:lncRNA from 1 species